UACGUAGGGGGCUAGCGUUGUCCGGAUUUACUGGGCGUAAAGAGCGCGUAGGCGGAGAUCUAAGCGUGGCCUGAAAGCCCCCCGGCUCAACCGGGGAGUGCGGCUGCGAACUGGGUUUCUUGAGGACGAUAGAGGAGAGUGGAAUUCCUGGUGUAGCGGUGAAAUGCGUAGAUAUCAGGAGGAACACCCGAGGCGAAGGCGGCUCUCUGGGUCGUACCUGACGCUGAGGCGCGAAAGCGUGGGGAGCGAACGGG
rnacentral:rRNA from 1 species